rnacentral:rRNA from 1 species
CCUACGGGAGGCUGCAGUGGGGAAUAUUGGACAAUGGGGGCAACCCUGAUCCAGCCAUGCCGCGUGUGUGAAGAAGGCCCUCGGGUUGUAAAGCACUUUCAGUGAGGAAGAACGCCUGGUGGUUAAUACCCAUCAGGAAAGACAUCACUCACAGAAGAAGCACCGGCUAACUCCGUGCCAGCAGCCGCGGUAAUACGGAGGGUGCGAGCGUUAAUCGGAAUUACUGGGCGUAAAGCGCGCGUAGGUGGCUUGAUAAGCCGGUUGUGAAAGCCCCGGGCUCAACCUGGGAACGGCAUCCGGAACUGUCAAGCUAGAGUGCAGGAGAGGAAGGUAGAAUUCCCGGUGUAGCGGUGAAAUGCGUAGAGAUCGGGAGGAAUACCAGUGGCGAAGGCGGCCUUCUGGACUGACACUGACACUGAGGUGCGAAAGCGUGGGUAGCAAACAGGAUUAGAUACCCUUGUAGGC